rnacentral:rRNA from 1 species
CAAUAGCGUAUAUUAAAGUUGUUGCAGUUAAAAAGCUCGUAGUUGGACUUCUGCGGGUGGCGGCCGGUCGUGCUCGAAACGGGCGUGAACUUGGCGUGCUGCCCGCAUCUUUGGGGAGAUUGUGCGUGGCAUUAAGUUGUCGUGCAUGGGAUUCUCAUCAUUUACUGUGAAAAAAUUAGAGUGUUUAAAGCAGGCCUUUGCCUUGAAUACAUUAGCAUGGAAUAAUAAGAUAGGACCGUUGUCUAUUUUGUUGGUUUACAGAUGUCGGUAAUGAUUAAUAGGGAUAGUUGGGGGUAUUCGUAUUCAGUUGUCAGAGGUGAAAUUCUUGGAUUUUCGGAAGACGCACGACUGCGAAAGCAUUUACCAAGGAUGUUUUCAUUAA